rnacentral:rRNA from 1 species
AGAGUUUGAUCCUGGCUCAGAUUGAACGCCAGCGGCAUGCUUUACACAUGCAAGUCGAACGGCAGCGCGGGGCAACCUGGCGGCGAGUGGCGAACGGGUGAGUAAUACAUCGGAACGUGCCCUGUGAUGGGGGAUAACUACGCGAAAGCGUAGCUAAUACCGCAUACGACCUACGGGUGAAAGUGGGGGAUCGCAAGACCUCACGUCAUAGGAGCGGCCGAUGGCGGAUUAGCUAGUUGGUAAGGUAAAGGCUUACCAAGGCAACGAUCCGUAGCUGGUCUGAGAGGACGACCAGCCACACUGGGACUGAGACACGGCCCAGACUCCUACGGGAGGCAGCAGUGGGGAAUCUUGGACAAUGGGGGCAACCCUGAUCCAGCAAUGCCGCGUGUGGGAUGAAGGCCUUCGGGUUGUAAACCACUUUUGGCGGGGGCGAAAUAUCGAGUGCUAAUACCAUUCGGUGAUGACGGUACCCGCAGAAUAAGCACCGGCUAACUACGUGCCAGCAGCCGCGGUAAUACGUAGGGUGCAAGCGUUAAUCGGAAUUACUGGGCGUAAAGCGUGCGCAGGCGGUUAGGUAAGACAGAUGUGAAAUUCCCGGGCUCAUCUGGGAACUGCAUUUGUGACUGCCUGACUAUAGUGCGGCAGAGGGGAGUGGAAUUCCGCGUGUUCAUUGAAAUGCGUAUAUAUGCGGAGGAACACCGAUGGCGAAGGCAACUCCCUGGGCCUGCACUG